rnacentral:ncRNA from 1 species
CUCAGGUGAGGGCCAGCUGGUUCCUGUCUGUGACAGGCGAAGAGGGAAUGCGACAGACCGCAAAGGUCAAAGCGCAGCCGCCCCCGCGACCGUGACCGGAGAGGUCCGCCCGAAGCCACUGGCCAAUGUGCCGGGAAGGCGGGUGGACCGCAGGAGCGCAAUGCUCCGGGAUCCGCAAGCCGGGAGACCUGCCAGCACAGAUUUGUUUCG